GUCAAGGGGAAAGGUAAAUCCUGCUCCAUCCAGGGCCAGAGUCUUUCAGAGCCCAUCUCCUGCCAAAAUAUGGAAAAACAGAGGGUCAAGAGUUCAGUCUGGAGGGCUGGGCAGGCUGGCUGGGGUCCAAGAGAGGGGAACGGUCCACCCUGGGCACCUGUCCAGAGGAUGGGCUGCUUCUCACCUAGACCAAAGGAACCACUUGUCACCUGGAGUGGAUUGAAGAAGGGUUGUCCCCUCCCAAGAACUUAUUCGAUGACUCCUGUCUGCUGGCCCCAACAUUGACAUCUGGAGGGCUGGAAGAUGGACUGUCUCUGCUAUGGAAUCCUGGUGGCCAGCAUUUUCCCCACGUCUUCUGGGUUUCCCUUUGUACCCAGCUCCUCCUAUUGUAACUGAAAGAUAGUAGAUAAUCAAAAUAAUCUUGGAUGGUUGGGUGGAUAGGUAAGGGCAACACUGCUUCAAGACCUGGGCACAGGCCCCUCCUGCCUCACCUCCCUGGACAUCACCUCCAGUCCAUACUAGACCCAAUAUAUAGGCAAAGAACCUGCCGUCAUCUCAGC
rnacentral:lncRNA from 1 species